UAACACAUGCAAGUCGAGCGGUAGCACAGGAGAGCUUGCUCUCCGGGUGACGAGCGGCGGACGGGUGAGUAAUGUCUGGGAAACUGCCUGAUGGAGGGGGAUAACUACUGGAAACGGUAGCUAAUACCGCAUAACGUCGCAAGACCAAAGUGGGGGACCUUCGGGCCUCAUGCCAUCAGAUGUGCCCAGAUGGGAUUAGCUAGUAGGUGGGGUAAUGGCUCACCUAGGCGACGAUCCCUAGCUGGUCUGAGAGGAUGACCAGCCACACUGGAACUGAGACACGGUCCAGACUCCUACGGGAGGCAGCAGUGGGGAAUAUUGCACAAUGGGCGCAAGCCUGAUGCAGCCAUGCCGCGUGUAUGAAGAAGGCCUUCGGGUUGUAAAGUACUUUCAGCGAGGAGGAAGGCAUUAAGGUUAAUAACCUUAGUGAUUGACGUUACUCGCAGAAGAAGCACCGGCUAACUCCGUGCCAGCAGCCGCGGUAAUACGGAGGGUGCAAGCGUUAAUCGGAAUUACUGGGCGUAAAGCGCACGCAGGCGGUUUGUUAAGUCAGAUGUGAAAUCCCCGGGCUCAACCUGGGAACUGCAUUUGAAACUGGCAAGCUUGAGUCUUGUAGAGGGGGGUAGAAUUCCAGGUGUAGCGGUGAAAUGCGUAGAGAUCUGGAGGAAUACCGGUGGCGAAGGCGGCCCCCUGGACAAAGACUGACGCUGC
rnacentral:rRNA from 1 species